AGAGUUUGAUCCUGGCUCAGGAUGAACGCUAGCGACAGGCUUAACACAUGCAAGUCGAGGGGCAGCGGGGGAGUAGCAAUACUCCCGCCGGCGACCGGCGCACGGGUGAGUAACACGUAUGAAACCUGCCCGUAGCAGGGGGAUAAGCGGAAGAAAUUCCGUCUAAUACCGCGUAACAACCCUUGGAGGCAUCUCCUCGGGUUUAAAGGAAGCGAUUCCGGCUACGGAUGGUCAUGCGUCGCAUUAGCUAGUUGGCGGGGUAACGGCCCACCAAGGCGACGAUGCGUAGGGGUUCUGAGAGGAAGGUCCCCCACACUGGUACUGAGACACGGACCAGACUCCUACGGGAGGCAGCAGUGAGGAAUAUUGGUCAAUGGCCGCAGGGCUGAACCAGCCAAGUCGCGUGAGGGAUGACGGUCCUAUGGAUUGUAAACCUCUUUUGUCAGGGAGCAAAGGGCGUCACGUGUGGCGUUUUGCGAGUACCUGAAGAAAAAGCAUCGGCUAACUCCGUGCCAGCAGCCGCGGUAAUACGGAGGAUGCGAGCGUUAUCCGGAUUUAUUGGGUUUAAAGGGUGCGCAGGCGGAAUGUCAAGUCAGCGGUAAAAUUUCGGGGCUCAACCCCGUCGUGCCGUUGAAACUGGCGUUCUUGAGUGAGCGAGAAGUAUGCGGAAUGCGUGGUGUAGCGGUGAAAUGCAUAGAUAUCACGCAGAACUCCGAUUGCGAAGGCAGCAUACCGGCGCUCAACUGACGCUCAUGCACGAAAGCGUGGGUAUCGAACAGGAUUAGAUACCCUGGUAGUCCACGCAGUAAACGAUGAAUACUAACUGUCCGGGCAGAAUGAUGUCUGGGUGGUACAGCGAAAGCGUUAAGUAUUCCACCUGGGGAGUACGCCGGCAACGGUGAAACUCAAAGGAAUUGACGGGGGCCCGCACAAGCGGAGGAACAUGUGGUUUAAUUCGAUGAUACGCGAGGAACCUUACCCGGGCUCAAACGACGGAUGGAUGUUUCUGAAAGGAGGCAGUCCUACGGGACAUCCGUCGAGGUGCUGCAUGGUUGUCGUCAGCUCGUGCCGUGAGGUGUCGGCUUAAGUGCCAUAACGAGCGCAACCCCCAUCGCCAGUUACCAGCAAGUAAAGUUGGGGACUCUGGCGAGACUGCCGGCGCAAGCUGUGAGGAAGGCGGGGAUGACGUCAAAUCAGCACGGCCCUUACGUCCGGGGCGACACACGUGUUACAAUGGCAGGUACAGAGAGAUGCGAUGCGGCGACGCAGAGCGGAACUUCAAAGCCUGUCUCAGUUCGGAUUGGAGUCUGCAACCCGACUCCAUGAAGCUGGAUUCGCUAGUAAUCGCGCAUCAGCCACGGCGCGGUGAAUACGUUCCCGGGCCUUGCACACACAGCCCGUCAAG
rnacentral:rRNA from 1 species